AAUCAACGCUGGCGGCGUGCCUAACACAUGCAAGUCGAGCGGGAAAGGGGGCUUCGGCCCCUGAGUAUAGCGGCGGACGGGUGAGUAACACGUGGGUAAUUUGCCCUUGGGUGUGGAAUGACUCAGGGAAACUUGAGCUAAUACCGCAUGACAUCCCCUUCACACACGAGUCGGGGAUCAAAGCCGGGGACCCUUCGGGGCCUGGCGCCUGAGGAGAAGCCCGCGCCCGAUUAGCUAGNGGUGAGGUAAUGGCUCACCAAGGCUUCGAUCGGUAGCCGGCCUGAGAGGGCGGACGGCCACACUGGGACUGAGACACGGCCCAGACUCCUACGGGAGGCAGCAGUGGGGAAUUUUUGUCAAUGGGGGAAACCCUGAACAAGCAACGCCGCGUGGAGGACGACGACCU
rnacentral:rRNA from 1 species